rnacentral:lncRNA from 1 species
UUGAAAUACACACACGGUACAGUUAACACACACUGUAGUGCCCGGUAUGGUGAGUUUUGGUUAUUUUAUAGAGCAGCCAUCACCACAAUCAAGAUCUGGAACAUUUUCAUCACCCUAGAAAUUUCCUUGAGUCCCUGUGUAGCCGAUCCCCUCUCCUGGCCCCAGCCCCUGGCAACUGUUAAGGACCUUUAUGCCACUAUAGCUUUGCCUUUUCUAGACUUUCAUAUAAAUGGAAUCAAGUGAUAUGUAAUGCUGUGUGUUUGACUCCUUCACUGAGCAGAAUGGUUUUGAGCUCCAUUCAUCUGUGGCUUGUGUUAAUGCUGUGUUCCUUUCUAUUGCUCAGUAGUUUCAUUGUAUAGAUAUCCCAGACUUUAUUUAUUUAGCAGCUGAUGGGCCCCUGGGUUCUUUCCAGUUCUUGCUUAUUUGAAUCAUGCUGCCAUGAACGUUCGCAUUUGAGUCUUUGCAUAAACUUAGCAGUCAUUUCUCUUGGGUAAAUACCCAGAUGUGAAUUUCUGGGUCAUGGUUAAGUACAUAUGGCCACACAGUUUUCCAAAGUGGUUGUGCCAAUUUGCCAUGAGUAUAGAAGAGUUCCUGUUGCCCCUCCUCCUCAUUAACACAUGAUAUACUCAAUUUUUUAACUUUAGCCAUUCUAGUAGGGGUAUAGCGCUAUCUCAGUGUGGCUUAAUGUUGAGUACCUUUUCAUGCACUUACUGUUCAGCUAACAUUGUUGUUAAGCAAUAUCCUGAAAUAUUCUUUUUUUUAUUUUUUUGAGACAAGUCUUGCUCUGUCACCCAGGAUGGAGUGCUGUGGCAUGAUCCUGGCUCCCUGCAGCCUUGACUUGGGAUCAAGCAAUCCGCUCACCUCAGCCUCCCUAGCAGCUGGGUCUAGAGGCAUGCACCACCACACCUGACUAAUUUGUGUAUUUUUUGUAGAGACGAGGCCAUUUCAUGUUGCCCAGGCUGGUCUUGAACUCCUGGGCUCAAGCCAUCCGCUGGCCUCAGCCUCCCAAAGUGCUGAGAUUACAGAUAUGAGCCACCAUGCCCAGCCCUGAAAUAUUCUUAAGGGAUGCACCGACCCUAAGGCCGAUGUUAUUCCCCUCAAUUUGCAGAUAAGAUCUGAGGCACAGAGUGGCUGCACAAUUGCCUUGCAUUCCUUUUGGCAGAACUGGGGCUGAAGCUUCCUAGACUGGGCCACAUGUUCUCCACUGCUGGGAACAACUGUUCUUAAAGGGCCUUGCAGACAUAUUAGUAACCUCAAAUGGUGACAGACUGGCUGCACAUUUUGACAUUAAUAUGUUGUCAUAGUUUGACAUAAAUAGAACUAUUCAAUAUUACUACUUUUUUUCUUUUAAGCUGUGGAGCCUCUAACCAUUCCUACCAGACUUAAUAAAUGGCACUGCCACGUGCUUAAUUAGUAAGUGUUGAGAGUUACUUUGCUGUGAAGUAUUCCCCUCCACUAUCUUGGCCCAUGUAGCAUUUAUAGGAAGGAAGCUUUCCAUUUGUCCUCCCUUAUCCUGGGAGCACACGGAAAAGGUCCAGGUCACUCAAUCCUCCCUCCCCUCUUGGUUGAUGGCCAAAAUGCUUUCUGCCCUGGUAGAGUUGAUCCUUUAACUAGAAACUGUAAGCCCAGUGCGAGUAAAUGCCUAACAUUGCAAACAGAGAUGCUAAAAAGGGAACCUUUGUGACACACGCAUCCUGCAGGAUGUAGGGACGAGUGAAUGGAAGAGAAUGGGGUGGGGUGAGGAGUGAGUUCUACCUGCAGGAAUGAAAUGAAAGACCUGAAGCUGCUGGGCUUCCCAGCCAGCCACUAGGAAACACACUGGAGCCAGAGGCUCCCAGGGAGACCGUCGUGUGGUUGCCCAUCCUGCAGAGCCCCACCCAAGCAGGACGGCUGCCAGCCCCUGGGCAGUGCUGGACCUCGGGCUGUGAGUUCAGCUGAGCUGCGUGAUCCAGAUGAGCUGCAGAUUGUCCACAGGCUGCCACCCAGACGCUGGGUCACAGGGGCUCCCCCUGUGCUUUAUUGAGACUGGUCAG